rnacentral:tRNA from 1 species
GCAGGUACAGCUCAGUGGUAGAGCGUAUGCUUAGCAUGCAUGAGGUCAUGGGUACAAUCCCCAGUACUUCUG